rnacentral:rRNA from 1 species
AGUCGAACGAACACUUUAACUUGAUUCUUCGGAUGAAGGUUUUUGUGACUGAGUGGCGGACGGGUGAGUAACGCGUGGGUAACCUGCCUCAUACAGGGGGAUAACAGUUAGAAAUGACUGCUAAUACCGCAUAAGACCACAGAGCCGCAUGGCUCGGUGGGAAAAACUCCGGUGGUAUGAGAUGGACCCGCGUCUGAUUAGGUAGUUGGUGGGGUAACGGCCUACCAAGCCAACGAUCAGUAGCCGACCUGAGAGGGUGACCGGCCACAUUGGGACUGAGACACGGCCCAAACUCCUACGGGAGGCAGCAGUGGGGAAUAUUGCACAAUGGGGGGAACCCUGAUGCAGCGACGCCGCGUGAGCGAAGAAGUAUUUCGGUAUGUAAAGCUCUAUCAGCAGGGAAGAAAAUGACGGUACCUGACUAAGAAGCACCGGCUAAAUACGUGCCAGCAGCCGCGGUAAUACGUAUGGUGCAAGCGUUAUCCGGAUUUACUGGGUGUAAAGGGAGCGUAGACGGCUGUGUAAGUCUGAAGUGAAAGCCCGGGGCUCAACCCCGGGACUGCUUUGGAAACUAUGCAGCUAGAGUGUCGGAGAGGUAAGUGGAAUUCCCAGUGUAGCGGUGAAAUGCGUAGAUAUUGGGAGGAACACCAGUGGCGAAGGCGGCUUACUGGACGAUGACUGACGUUGAGGCUCGAAAGCGUGNGGAGCAAACAGNAUUAGAUACCCUGGUAGUCCACGCCGU